rnacentral:rRNA from 1 species
UGGGGAAUAUUGCACAAUGGGCGCAAGCCUGAUGCAGCCAUGCCGCGUGUGUGAAGAAGGCCUCCGGGUUGUAAAGCACUUUCAGCGAGGAGGAAGGUGGUGAGCUUAAUACGCUCAUCAAUUGACGUUACUCGCAGAAGAAGCACCGGCUAACUCCGUGCCAGCAGCCGCGGUAAUACGGAGGGUGCAAGCGUUAAUCGGAAUUACUGGGCGUAAAGCGCACGCAGGCGGUUUGUUAAGUCAGAUGUGAAAUCCCCGGGCUCAACCUGGGAACUGCAUUUGAAACUGGCAAGCUAGAGUCUCGUAGAGGGGGGUAGAAUUCCAGGUGUAGCGGUGAAAUGCGUAGAGAUCUGGAGGAAUACCGGUGGCGAAGGCGGCCCCCUGGACGAAGACUGACGCUCAGGUGCGAAAGCGUGGGGCAGCAAACAGGAUUAGAUACCCUGGUAGUCCACGCUGUAAACGAUGUCGAUUUUGGAGGUUGUGCCCUUGAGGCGUGGCUUCCGGAGCUAACGCGUUAAAGUCGACCGCCU